GUUUACAAUGCAAGUCGAACGGAAACGAAAAUAGCUUGCUAUUUGGCGUCGAGUGGCGAACGGGUGAGUAACGCGUAGGAAUCUACCCAGUAGAGGGGGAUAGCCCGAAGAAAUUCGGAUUAAUACCGCAUAAUCUCUACGGAGUAAAGAAGGCCUCUUUACAAUGCUUUUACUAUUGGAUGAGCCUGCGUUAGAUUAGUUAGUUGGUAGGGUAAAAGCCUACCAAGGCGACGAUCUAUAGCUGGUUUUACGAGAAUGAUCAGCCACACUGGAACUGAGACACGGUCCAGACUCCUACGGGAGGCAACAGUGAAGAAUAUUGGACAAUGGGGGAAACCCUGAUCCAGCAAUGUUGCGUGUGUGAAGAAGGUCCGAGGAUUGUAAAGCACUUUCAGUAAGCAAGAAAAAUGUAAAUCUAAUAGAUUUGCAUGUUGACCACUUAUAGAAGAAGCACCGGCUAACUCCGUGCCAGCAGCCGCGGUAAUACGGAAGGUGCGAGCGUUAAUCGGAAUUAC
rnacentral:rRNA from 1 species